rnacentral:rRNA from 1 species
UGGGGAAUAUUGCACAAUGGGCGCAAGCCUGAUGCAGCCAUGCCGCGUGUAUGAAGAAGGCCUUCGUGUUGUAAAGUACUUUCAGUCGGGAGGAAGGUGGUAAGGUUAAUAACCUUAUCAAUUGACGUUACCGACAGAAGAAGCACCGGCUAACUCCGUGCCAGCAGCCGCGGUAAUACGGAGGGUGCAAGCGUUAAUCGGAAUUACUGGGCGUAAAGCGCACGCAGGCGGUUGAUUGAGUCAGAUGUGAAAUCCCCGGGCUUAACCCGGGAAUUGCAUCUGAUACUGGUCAGCUAGAGUCUUGUAGAGGGGGGUAGAAUUCCAUGUGUAGCGGUGAAAUGCGUAGAGAUGUGGAGGAAUACCGGUGGCGAAGGCGGCCCCCUGGACAAAGUCUGACGCUCAGGUGCGAAAGCGUGGGGAGCAAACAGG